CUCUCACCAUUUAGAUCUCUAAAGUUCAUAUCUGUGUAUAUAUUGAGCAGUCUGCUAGCUUAUUCCACAGCUCCUUAGAAAGGAGAGCUCUGCACAAGGCCUAUUUUUAUACAGGUUUGGAGCUGUAUCUACAAUAACUCCAGAUGUCUCUAUCUCUUCCUGCUUGACUGCACCAAACUAGACACUGUCAGCAAGAAGAAACUCCUUGACCUGGUGAGUCCACCCAAGCAACACAGUAUCAAACAUCAGCAGAGAGAUGGUGAAUCCAGAAAAAAAACGUGAGGCUGAUGCAUGCAGGAAGCCCACAGACUCCCCCUGUUGCCUUGGUCAGAUAGUAACUGGACAGCCUCAGCUCAGCCUCCAACUUCUUCUGGAGACUCUUGGCUGCCAGCCUUGUGGGAAGCAGGGGAAUUUCCUAUGCACCUUGAAGUCCUUUCCAUGUGGAAAGGCCUUUUCUGACUUAAGAAUAUUUCUCAGCUAUUUGGGAACUUUAUAUUAUUUCUGGAAAUAAAGACAAAAAUGCUAAUUUAUUGAGCAAAGAAGGGCACAGGGUAUCCUGCAUAAAAUCUCCAGCCUCAAGCUGGUGCCACUGUACUUGAAGUGCCAGCAUUUUUUUAUUAUUUUUAUUUUUAUUUUAUUUUUUUGUGGACAACUUCAUCCAUGUCUGCUCCAAGCAGAAAUUGCCCAGAAGAUUAAAAUAAUGACACUGAAGUCAUCAGCUGUAAUCAUCUGAAUCUCUUAUGCCUCAGGAAUUGCUGAGCUUAUAUAAGCCAACAUCCUUCUUUGAUUCAUUCAAACUACUCUUCAGAAUUCCCUCACUUCAUUGCAAUUGACUAAAACAUUAAAAAGAGAGCUACUUUGAAGGACCAAAAAGGUGUGUGUGUGGAUUCUGGCACGUGUGCCAAAAGUUUGGUCUGUAUUUGUAAAUAGUGGAAGGCACUUCUUUCACUGGGAGCAGAUGCUAAAAUGCUGUCCAGAAACAGAGUUUUACUGGGAAAUUAUGUAAACUUACUGUUUUUUAUCCUUUCUUUUAAUGAUCCAUUUAAUUCAGACUGUAAACAUUUUGUGGAAGGAAGUAACCUUUACCAUUUAAGCAUACUGGCUGCUUAAUACAUGAACAAUUGCCAUAAAUAAAUAAUCAGUCCAGGUCA